GAUUAACGCUGGCGGCGUGCAUAACACAUGCAAGUCGAACGAUGAAACUUAACUGAUUUCUUCGGAAUGAUUUUAAGUGGAUUAGUGGCGGACGGGUGAGUAACGCGUGAGUAACCUGCCUUGGAGAAGGGGAUAGCCUUUGGAAACGAAGAAUAAUACCCUAUGAUAUGAUAAUAUCUCAUGAUAUUAUCAUCAAAGAUUUAUCGCUCUAAGAUGGACUUGCGUCUGAUUAGUUAGUUGGUGAGGUAACAGCUCACCAAGGCAGCGAUCAGUAGCCGGAAUGAGAGAGUGGACGGCCACAUUGGGACUGAGACACGGACCAGACUCCUACGGGAGGCAGCAGUGGGGAAUUUUGCACAAUGGGGGAAACCCUGAUGCAGCGACGCCGCGUGAUUCAGAAGGCCUUCGGGUUGUAAAAAUCUUUUGUAUGGGAAGAAAAUGACAGUACCAUACGAAUAAGGACCGGCUAAUUACGUG
rnacentral:rRNA from 1 species